CAAGCGGGCCGGACGGUCGCGGCGGGCUUCGGCGCGUCGAGGAAAGUCCGGGCUCCACAGGGCAGGGUGCUUCGUAACGCGAAGGCGGAGCGAUCCGACGGAAAGUGGCACAGAAAACAUACGGCCUGCGGGUUUCCCGCCGGCAAAGGUGAAAAGGUGCGGUAAGAGCGCACCAGCGUCAUGGUGACAUGGCGGCUAGCCAAACCCCACCCGGAGCAAGUCCAAAUAGGGGACCCAUGGUGUGGCCCGCACCGGUCCCGGGUUGGACGCUGGAGGUCCGCGGCGACGCGGAUCCAAGAGGAAUGACCGUCACGGAGGGCCCCGCGUCCUCCGGACAGAACCCGGCUUACAGGCCCGCUUGCCCU
rnacentral:RNase_P_RNA from 1 species